AGAAUUUUUCACAAUGGGCGAAAGCCUGAUGGAGCGACGCCGCGUGGGGGAUGAAUGGCUUCGGCCCGUAAACCCCUGUCAUGGGCGAACAAGGCUUCCGAGUGAACCGCUCGGAGGAUUGAUAGUAGCUCAAGCGGAAGGGACCGCUAACUCUGUGCCAGCAGCCGCGGUAAUACAGAGGUCCCAAGCGUUGUUCGGAUUCACUGGGCGUAAAGGGUGCGUAGGUGGUUGGGUAAGUCUGAUGUGAAAUCUCUGAGCUUAACUCAGAAACUGCAUUGGAUACUAUCCGGCUAGAGGGUUGGAGGGGAGACUGGAAUUCUCGGUGUAGCAGUGAAAUGCGUAGAUAUCGAGAGGAACACCUGUGGCGAAGGCGAGUCUCUGGACAAUUCCUGACGCUGAGGCACGAAAGCUAGGGGAGCAAAC
rnacentral:rRNA from 1 species